AAGAAAAACAUCCAACUAUAUUUUGGUGCAAGAAUCUAUGGUAUCCCAAUGUACCAAAAGCAUAUACACCUAAAAACAGCAGUAAGAGAUCUGUGUUCAGACAUCUUAAGUAGUCUUAGUUCAUGGGAAGAACUACCAUAUGACAUAUGAUAAGGGAAGUAUACAAUAUUUAAGGCUACUUGAUUUAAUGGAGUACACAACAUUAGAUUUCUGUUGAAUGAUGUUCCUCCUAGCAUGGCUUUUCACAGGAGGCGGCAGCCCCAUAACCCUUCUUCCAUAUUCAAACUGUACCAUCUUCUAACACUCCCAAGUUUACAAGACUUUCCAUCACCUUUUGUCGAAUAACAUCCUUGCAAGACAUAACUAUGGGUAUCUUUAUAUUAUUUAUUUAAAACGAGUGUAAUAGAUGGUUGCAGUUACUGGCAUUUUCUACAUGGCAUGGGAGAGAAGCUGUUGGGUUACACUGAAUGCGUUCGGAGAAGCGGGAGGCAGGAGUCAAGUACAUGAAUUUCACAUUUCAGUAUGUGAGACUUGAAUGUGUAUAUAUAUAUAUAUGUGCACAUAUACAUACGCACCUUGAAAGAUGAUCUUGUGACACCAUUUGAGUAAGCAGGGACGAAAAUAUAAUCCAGUGGUAAUCCAAUAUAUACACACUUGGAAACUAUCCCAUGGUAAUCACAUGAAAUCAGAGAACUAUGACUGAGUAGGGUGUUGGCAGCAUUGUGAAAUGACAGGGGGCUGUAAAAAUUAAUCUCAGUGAAAUGACUAAAAACACCUUUGAAAAUUGCACAUCAUUAUCUUCUUUUGAAAUCACACCACUCUUUACUGUAGUCAACACAGUCAUGGUUAAAUGAUAGCAUUGCAGUUUUUAGGAAUUUCAAAAACACUUCAGAAUGAUAGAUUGUUUCCAUGCCAGGUGCUUGCAAGAUAAGACAAGUAAGCCUCUGGGGUGUUCUAUGAGUUAGGUGUAAUAGAAUCCAUUUUUGUUUGUUUAUUUGUUUGUUUUCAGCCUGCAUUGUAACAGAAAGUACAAAGCUUGAAGAUACCUGCUGGUCCUGAACCACUCUUCAGAAGGCACCACAUGAGUCAAGGCUGAAACUGACUGCAGUAUCACUCCCAGCACUGCAGUGGACAAUGAUCCCCAUGAUGAAGCAAGGUAAACGAAGCUCUACUGCUGUAAACAGCAUUAACUGCUCUCCUCUCAGAAACAUUCAGGAUCAUCCAAUGAAAUCUAUUUGACAAGCAACUGUUAAGACUAACACCUGAGCAUGGGUUUUGUAGGAAGAAAAUACAAUUUGUGAUGUGAAAUUCUCACCUGCGGAUUUCAACAGUUACUUGGAAGUAGAUGGAAGUAGCUUAACGAUGUGAGUAGCUGUGUUGCCCUCUAGUGACAGGUUAAGAAAAUCCUGUCACAAGCAACAGGUACGAAAAAUUCUUCAUGCCCUGUAGGACACAUUACAGAAAUACAUUUAAGAUGGAUCUCAGCAGUAAAAAAUUCUGGAAGCUUUGUGGUUUUCGAGAGCCAGUCACAAAACAAAUCCUGGCUUUUGAAAUCUUGUUCAGUAUAUUGUCAUCUGUCAUACAGGAUUUCUUCACUUUCCAAAGAUAGUUAAGAAAAAUUAGUGUCUCACAUUAUAAUGGAAGCUUCAAAAUAUUUUUGGUGAGAAAUAAAAGAAGCCACUAACAAGAAUUUUCUUAAGAGUUGCUGCUGCUUUUAAAACUUUCCCAUCUGAAAUAAUGUCCUAGGCUUACAGACUGGAGCUUCAGGUUCUUUGAGUCUAGGUAGCAACAAGAACCUCACAAUCAGGUUUGUGGUGUGGGAAAAGAGAUGAGAUAAAGUCUUUCUCAAGUGAGAAGGACCAGAUCGGUGAGUUCAGUACAAGUGAUGACACAGAAGCAUGAACUUGGUACAACUUCUCAGUCCUGAAUUAGUGUAAACCCAGAUACCAAUCAACGGAAUAAACUGUGAUGAAGCCCUUCUGGUAUACUACACCCACUGUGCUGAAUUAACAGGCUGCUUCUUAGCCUGGAAAAAGUUACGAUCCCCAUAUGAAAGAGAACAAAAGCACCAGCAGUCACUCAAGCAUUCACCAGCUUAAUAGUUGCGUCUACUAUACAGACAGUUCUGAGCUGAGGCUUGCAUACUUGGUUCAUAAAUCUCCUUUGCUCCAACCCAGUACAAGGAUUACCCCUGGAGAAGAAAGGGAUGCCCUGCUGUGUCUGGUAAUCUGCAAUUAGGAAAUGAUCCCAAGGGGGACUGUUAGCAGCUGGUAUAGUUUAGAGCUGUUCAGACAAGCACCGAAUUAGCUGGAGAAUCUGGAACCACAACUAGCUGCUUGACAAGCCUCUUACUUCUCCAAUCUUGCAAACAGCAAAAUCUGCAUAAGGCAGAGAUUUUGAACUACUGUAUGACAGCAUACACUGUCAUGUGCUAUGGUGGAACAGGUCAGUUCUGCUCCACAGUAGGUUAAAGCAUUUAUUUGUUUAGAUACAGAAAGCGUGGGAACGUGAUCUUGUUCAAGGCAAAGUUCUUUGGUGUUACGUGUUGGGUAUUGCAGUACAGUUGUAAAAUGUUUUGGAUGUAUCUUUCUCCUCUUUAACUGGCUUAUUAUACUUGACCUUUCAGUAACGCACAAAAUUAGAUCUAAUUUGAAAAUAGAUUACUUCUGGAACGGCAGAAUUUAAUUUAGCACCUGUAGUAUGUUGGGUCCCUUGGUAGGUAAGUACACAGGACUAACAACGGAGAAAGCUGGGAGGGUUUGCUGGGAAGUUAUGUGGGUUGGGAACUGAUGGAUUUUUGGAAACUAAAUAGGAAAAGGAAGGGAAGGUAUGUCCAUAGGAGUUUUGAGGAGGUGGGAAGACUGGAGCCUGGAAAGAUGGGUGAGGAGGUGGAAGUGUUAUGGACAUUGUUAUUGGGAAAAAGCAGUUAGGAGGAUUCAGUGGGGUGUUUCAUGGGAAAAGGAAGUGAGAGAAGUCUUUCUGCUCACCAACAUCCUGCUAAUCUGAGUACAGGAUAAUUAAACUUGAGGGAUUUAAGAUGUUGACAUACCACCCUGUCAGGUCUCCUAAUUUGUAUAUGAAAUGCAUUGCAGUUAAUACCAUGGAAAUUACAGAGAUUCUCCUUAGAUAAUUUCUUGUUGUUAUUAAGCAAUACUUUUGAGAAAUCUGAAUUUUGUCCCAACAGCUGGACCAAUUUCAGCUUUCAACAUACGGAAAUGUCAAUUUUUGGAAAAGAUUUUCAUCAUUUUUGCUAACCAUCUUCAAAUCCAAAUAUCUUCCUAAUUGCCAUUGUCAUGAAGAAUGCAGCACUCUUACUCACAUUAAUGGCUAGCCUGUCUCUUUAAAAUAAAAUUCCCUCAGGCCACUUAAUCAACAUAUCUGUUUCAAGUAAACAAUGGUGCCAUUUCCUGAACAAUAAAUUAGGACAUUUUUAGAAAACUUUGUUGUGUUAUAAAAAAAUCCAAUCCUCUGUUUCUCUGCACUGAUUUUUGCAAAAUGGGCCUCUACCCAGACAACCAAUUAAACAAUAUGCACUGCAAUCUCCUACCAGUAUUGCAGUAUUUUGAACUAUUUUUUUAUCUGGGGGGAGAGAAAUGAAAAGGGAGCUUUCUAGAUAUCAAUAUCUAUCAAUUUACCAAUCAGCAGUUAAAAAAAUGAAUGUUUAGUGAUGCAGUGAACAAACAUGCAACUUGCUUGACCUCCUUGAAAGCAGCUGGUGAGUCUUUCUUGGAUUAAUCUGUACUUGCUCUGUAGUGGUUAGACUGUUGUUUAUUAAACCAUAUGGUUCGUUUCUCCAGAGACAAGGGUGUGGUGUCAUAGACAGAUUCAACUAAUCUAAAACUAAACUGACACUGAAAGAGUCAUCCCAGCACCCAACCCUGCUGCUUUCUAUUUCCUGGUGUGGGCAUGCAAGCAGCCAUGUAGGCAGUUGGAUCAGGGAACUGAUUCAUCUGGAAGGUAAUCCAGCAAACACACACACACACAAAGUCCAAAAAUUGUUUUAAUUUUCACCUGGCUCAGCUUGCUGGUCCAUUCCUUAUAAGCAUUGGCCUUGGCUGAGGGAGCAGAAAAGGUAGGUGGCCAGAGAGGAGUAAGAAUAAGCUUCUUGGGAAAGACCUACCUCAGGUCAGCCAGCACCAAUCAUGCACCUGCAACUUAGAUGGGAUAUUUAAAGUGAACUGCUGGCAAGAGGUAGGUGGAUAUGUGACACCAUAGGUCAGGAGAGAGUUUCUUCAGAACAGUGGAGUGUGCUCAGAAGAGAAACAACUCGAGUCAAGAGAAACUCUCGACUGUCACCUCAGUUCUGGUAAUGGCUCAUUCCUAAGAGACAGACUGGACAUGAAAUCCUGUAACUCUUCACUGUUAGCAGCAUAGGCACAGUAUUAUUGAAUUUAACCAUAGAUUAAUUGGUGUUUAUCUAGCCAACUAAAUAAAAAUUAAAGAAAGAGAAUGAUAUUUCCAGUGUAGAAAGCCCUGUUUGUCUAAUACUAUUGCUUAUUCUGCAUAGAAAAGGAUAAUCACUGGCUAGUUCCUUCAAAUAAAUAAGUCUUCCAAGGCAACCUAUUCAGACAGAUAACUUAUUUAGGUUAUCUUGACACAAUUUGUGGUUGCAAACUCAAUAGUCUGCACAAAUAAGCAUGGAAAUAAUAACUUUUAUUCUCAAAUGUUUUCAAAUCCAGGGAGAAAAGCUGCUCCCAAGAUGGAUGUGGUGGCUGGCAAAAGAGCAGCUUUUCAUGAGCAAGUUCGAAUGGAUGAUUAUGAAUCCUUAGUCUGCCCUCUUCAAUACAUGCUCAAUAGCUUUUUUGAGGUUUUACUGUGACUGCUCCUGUGCAAGCCUAACUACAUGAAGAACUGUGUGACAAAACACUGGACUAUUCAAAGAAUUACUUUUCCUUUAGAAUGAUCUUGUUGUGGGCUAAUACUCUAAAUAUUAUAAAAAUUGCUUCUAGAUUGACAUGGAUAUGGAUAUCUAAUCUGUUCAUACAAAUAUCGUGACUUCCCGUACCUGUUUUCUUUGAAGACUAAUUAUUCUAUCUUGUCCUAAUCACAGAUCUAUUGUGCUCCAAUGUUUGGUAUUAUUUCAAAUUGGCUAUCACAAUUAUAAAUGUAUUUCAGCAUAAGCCUGAUGUGAUUUCUGGCUUACAAACUCAUGGUAGAGAGCUUAACAUCAUAGUGGUAUAUAGGCAGAACCAUUCUUGAGUUGGAAGGAACCCACAAAAAUCACUGAGUCCUAUUCAAGGUUUUACACAAGACCAUCCAAAAAUCAAACCAUAUUUUGUAAAAAUUAGAGAAUCAUAGAAUCAUAGAAU